rnacentral:rRNA from 1 species
GGCUCAGAACGAACGCUGGCGGCGCGUCUUAAGCAUGCAAGUCGAACGGCAAGAGGUAGCAAUACCUCCUAGAGUGGCGGACUGGUGAGUAACACGUGGGUGACAUACCCUUCAGAUGGGGAUAGCUAUUAGAAAUAGUAGAUAAUACCGAAUACGAGCACAGGGGUUAGAGAUCUGUGAGGAAAGGAGCUAAGGCUCCGCUGAAGGAAUGGCCUGCGGCCCAUUAGCUAGUUGGUGAGGUAAGAGCCCACCAAGGCGAUGAUGGGUAUCCGGCCUUAGAGGGUGAACGGACACAUUGGGACUGAGAUACGGCCCAGACUCCUACGGGAGGCAGCAGCUAAGAAUACUCCGCAAUGGACGAAAGUCUGACGGAGCGACGCCGCGUGGAUGAAGAAGGCCGGAAGGUUGUAAAAUCCUUUUGAAACUGAAGAAUAAGCGUUGUAGGGAAUGACAGCGUGGUGACAGUAGGUUUUGAAUAAGCAACGGCUAAUUGCGUGCCAGCCGCCGC